rnacentral:rRNA from 1 species
UACGUAGGUGGCAAGCGUUGUCCGGAUUUACUGGGCGUAAAGAGCGCGCAGGCGGUCGUUCAAGUCGCGUGUGAAAGCCCCCGGCUCAGCUGGGGAGGGUCACGCGAUACUGAUCGACUGGAAGGCAGGAGAGGGUAGUGGAAUUCCCGGUGUAGUGGUGAAAUGCGUAGAUAUCGGGAGGAACACCAGUGGCGAAGGCGACUACCUGGCCUGUUCUUGACGCUGAGGCGCGAAAGCUAGGGGAGCAAACGGG